rnacentral:lncRNA from 1 species
UUAACCCUUUAUCAUUUUUGGAAACUUUAUUGUUGGCUUUUUAUAUUUGAGUCUUAAACUCAACUAGAAUUGAUUAUGUGGGAUAGAGUAAAAGGUUGUGAUGGUUCAUUUUAUGUGUCUACUUGACUGGGCCAUGUGGCACCCAGACAUUUGGUCAAACAUUCUGGGUGUGUCUUUGAGGAUGUUUCUGAAGUGAGUAACAGUUGAAUCAGUGGACUGAGUGAAGCUGACAUGUGAGUGGGUUUCCUUCAACCAGUCGAACACAUGAGUAGAAUGAAAGGGCCAGGUCUGAGGGCACUCCUGAAUGAUGGGUGGAGGUGGGACAUCCAUUUCUCUGGUCUUCAGACUGAGCCUGAAGCAUUUGAUCUUCUUGGGUCUUGAGCCUACAGGCCAGCAGACUCAAACUAUGCCCUCUGCUCUCCUGUUUCUCAGGCUACGAUUGCAGAUCGGAACUACGUGUUAUGGUUUGAGGAUGUGAUAUGCUCCCCAAAGACCAUAUGCCAAAGGUUUGGUCCCCAGACUGUGGUGCUAUGAGGAGGUGGGACCUAGAUGAAGAAAGGAGGUUACUUCAGGAGCGCUUUGAAGGGGACAUUUUGUCUCUGCCUUUUUCUCUCUCUUUGCUUCUCUUUCCUGGACAUCCUGAGGAGAGCAGCUCUGUUCCACCAUGUGGUCACUGCCAUCAUGUUCUGUCUUGUCAAAGGCCCAAAGCUACAAAGUCAAGUGACCACGCACUGACACCUCUGAAUUUGUGAGCCAAGAUAAAUCUUUCUUCCUUUCAGUUGAUUUUCUCAUGCAUUUUGUUACAGUGAUAGAAAGCUGAUGAAUUCACUACAUAUUGACCAUCCUGAGUUCCUCACUUGCUGGCUGUAGAUAUUAAACUUCUCUGCCUACAUAAUUGUUCCAGCCAAUUAUUUAUAAUAAAUGAAUCUUUCUCUCUCUCUCUCUUUCUUUCUUUUCUCUCUCCCUCUUUCUUUCUUUUCCCCUCUUUCUUUUUCUCUGUCUUCUAUUAUUUCGGUUCCUCUGGAGAACCCUAAUACAAAGGCGUAGAACAAUUUUAUUUUUUCUAAAUAAAUACCCCUUUGUGCCAGCACCAUCUACUAUAAUAUUGUCCCUUCCCCACUGAUCUCAAACCUGCCUCUCAAGCUUCCGUAUGUGCAUGGGACUAUUUUUGUGCUCUCUAGUCUGUUCUAUUGGGCCACUGCCCUGUCCCUGUGUCCACACCACAUGUCUCAUUACUAUAGGCUAAUUAUAAGUCUUGGUGCUUGAUGAGGAAAAUAGUCUCCUCUUGCCCUUUUUUAAAAGAGUGUCUUGGCUAUAUAUUGCAC